rnacentral:rRNA from 1 species
GGAUUAGAUACCCUGGUAGUCCACACCGUAAACGAUGAAUGCUAGUUGUCUGCGCGCAUGCGUGCAGGUGACGCAGCUAACGCAUUAAGCAUUCCGCCUGGGGAGUACGGCCGCAAGGUUAAAACUCAAAGAAAUUGACGGGGGCCCGCACAAGCGGUGGAGCAUGUGGUUUAAUUCGAAGCAACGCGCAGAACCUUACCCGCGUUUGACAUGCCCUGUUUGGUUACCAGAGAUGGUUUCCUUCAUUUAGUUGGCAGGUGCACAGGUGCUGCAUGGCUGUCGUCAGCUCGUGCCG